rnacentral:hammerhead_ribozyme from 1 species
AUCGAGCUGACGAGUUCCAAAUAGGACGAAACGCUCGUCCUGGAU